AAGACUAUAGACCUGCGGAGUACCUGCGGAAGGAUCAUUACAUGAUUUGAGGGGGCUCACGUCCCCUCAUCCAACCCACAAACCCCGAGGAACUUUUAUGUCGAGUGGUUCGGCGCUCUCUUUGAGAGCCGCCCCUCAAACGCAUCGCAGGCUUUUCGUGAAGGUCUGAUGUGUCACAUCGUGAGUAUUAAAACUUUCAACAACGGAUCUCU
rnacentral:misc_RNA from 1 species